CAAGGGAAGCAUAUGAGGGCAAGUACUAAACCAAGAAUUCAGACUGUGAAAACAAAGUUGGACUGAAAAAAAAAGGAUUUAAGUCGGCUUCUGUGACCAAUGUUUUCAUAUAUUUGUUACCAAAUUUGCACACAUAUAAUCAAUCCUCUGGAUUUUAAUUUUCAAACCAGAAGGACAUAAGGCAAGAAACAAGAAGAAAAGGAGAGUCAUUCCAAAAGACAGCAAUAACACAAGACACUGCAAUGGUUUCCCACUUCCUGCUCCAGUUCAUUUUACAGAAUGAAACUAAGGCAAACAGAGUUAAGCAACUUGC